rnacentral:lncRNA from 1 species
CGCACAUUUGGGUGCAAAUAUUUGGCUUUAUGAAUAAUGUAUUAUUAUAUACAUACAACCUGUAAUAUUUUUUGACAAACUAUUUGGCUGUAUAUCUGUAUACCCACGCUCAGAAGCAAACUAGAUCUUUCCAGGUUUGCAGGCAAGUUUAGCCAGUAGAGCUACUUGAGCAUACUGAUACUUGGACGACCAGAGCAAGUUUGUGCUCAACAAUCUAAUGUUGGCAAAAUUUCCAUACGAACUGCUCUGGAAAGGUUGUGGUACAUAUGUCUGUGUAUCUAACUUCUUCAGUGCAUCUUGACGGAUACUACCUGAUUUUGUUUUCUUCAAUGAAACAUGCUUUUUUUCUUCAUGGAACAUUUGAAUUCAUAGUUUUCACCAAUAGUCUUUCAUGACAGCUGGAACCUGUUUUCAGCAUAGUCAUUACUUGAGCAAUUACCGAAUUUGUACGUGGUAGCUACUUGGGUUUAUAUAUAUAUAUAUCUGGGAGCUAGUCUCACACUUCAGCCUCAGCCAAACUGGGUGCAUGCACGAAGGUCAUUAAUCAUAUAUUUGGGCAUAAUUUGGGCGGUGCAGACAGGACACUGAGAUGGCAUCAAUGAAUCUGGAGGUGAAUGAGAGCGUUCACGUGUGCAUCUAAUUCGUGGGACUGGUAUCUGAAUCUUGAUGAAUCAGACAGAUCAGUAAUGUUUUCACACCUCAACCACCAUGCAACAUCCAUCCCUUAAAAUGAUCGUCCUCACACAUUUGUAUUUGUAUAUAUAGUAAGCACCCAAACAAAUCAUUAUACAUUGGAUAAUCAUGUAGCUAAGUUUUGCAGGGGUAUCUUAUAACCUCUAUGAACAUAUCAACAGAUCAAUUCAUCACAUAUGGUCUGUACUUUGCAGCUUUGUAUUAGAGGAGUUAUAACUGAUUCAUAGGAGUAGGAUGCAUUGGGAAGCAAAAUGCUGCGUGCAACUUUUGGGAGUCCUCUUUGGGAUGCUGUACCAGAAUUCCUUAGAUGUUUAAGUACUUUAGUGUUUCUCAAUAUGUGGAAACACAUUCCGCUGAUGUGUAAAAUAAGAAUUUCUCAAGAUGCACACACAUAUACAGGAGAGGCCAUGACAGCAAUAUGUGCCUUUAUGUUCAUAGUAUCCGCCACAUUGUCUAUGUAUGAUUUCUCCACAACACUUCAACCAUAAUAGUCACAAUAGGCACCUAUGUUCUUUUUACUUAUUCAAUAAGAUUAGAAGGCAUCAGGAAAAGGGUAAUCGCGCUGCACAUGAGCUCGCACAACUGGCAUUGAGAUCGAACUACAAUUCGGCUGUUUGGUGCAUUGUAGUUCCAGUUUGUAUCAAUCAAAUUAUUGCUCAAGGUUUUAACAUGAACAAUGAGCAAUAAAAGAGCCUCUCUUUUCUUCACAAAAAAAAGAAGGCAUCAGGAACUAAACUAGUCCAUAACUUUUGAUUUAAUCCCUACAUUAGAACAAUGCUAACUCCAUGUGGUGGAGUUGAAUAAAGUCUAAAGACUUUUGGUCAACCC